AUACGGAGGAUCCGAGCGUUAUCCGGAUUUAUUGGGUUUAAAGGGUGCGCAGGCGGCCAUUUAAGUCAGUGGUUAAAUCGUGGGGCUCAACCCCAUUCUGCCGUUGAUACUGGGUGGCUUGAUUGCGGUCGAGGUUGGCGGAAUUCGUUGUGUAGCGGUGAACUGCAUAGAUAUGACGAAGAACACCGAUUGCGUAGGCAGCUGACCAGACCGCAAAUGACGCUCAUGCACGAAAGUGCGGGGAUCGAACAGGAUUAGAUACCCUGGUAGUCCGCACAGUAAACGAUGAAUACUUGUUUUCGGCGAUAUAAUGUCGGAGGCAAAGCGAAAGCGAUAAGUAUUCCACCUGGGGAGUACGCCGGCAACGGUGAAACUCAAAUGAAUUGACGGGG
rnacentral:rRNA from 1 species